GACGAACGCUGGCGGCGUGCCUAAUACAUGCAAGUCGAGCGAAGUUUUUCUGGUGCUUGCACUAGAAAAACUUAGCGGCGAACGGGUGAGUAACACGUAAAGAACCUGCCUCAUAGACUGGGACAACUAUUGGAAACGAUAGCUAAUACCGGAUAACAGUAUUUUUCGCAUGAGAGAUAUUUAAAAGUUGGUUAUGCUAACACUAUGAGAUGGCUUUGCGGUGCAUUAGCUAGUUGGUGGGGUAAAGGCCCACCAAGGCGACGAUGCAUAGCCGACCUGAGAGGGUGAUCGGCCACACUGGGACUGAGACACGGCCCAGACUCCUACGGGAGGCAGCAUAGGGAAUCUUCCGCAAUGGGCGAAAGCCUGACGGAGCAACGCCGCGUGAGUGAAGAAGGAUUUCGGUUCGUAAAGCUCUGUUGUUAGGGAAGAAUGGAUAUGUAGUAACUAUACAUAUAAGAGACG
rnacentral:rRNA from 1 species